AUUGGUGCAUCAGGUUUUAGACACUAGUAUUUCGUGUGAUGCUAUUGUUGGAGUGCUUGACUUUUUGUUAUGAAAAUGUGAGAAUAUUUUGGUUAGAUUUUUAUGGUCAUAAUGAUGUUGGAUUGGUGAAUUGGAUCAUGUUUGUUUUGUUUGGACUGUGAGAUUUGAUCAAAUUUGGAGGUUGCUGGCAUAUCUGUUCUCCUA
rnacentral:lncRNA from 1 species